GAUUGAACGCUGGCGGCAUGCCUUACACAUGCAAGUCGAACGGCAGCACGGACUUCGGUCUGGUGGCGAGUGGUGAACGGGUGAGUAAUAUAUCGGAACAUACCCAGUAGUGGGGGAUAACUAUCCGAAAGGAUAGCUAAUACCGCAUACGAUCUGUGGAUGAAAGCAGGGGAUCUUCGGACCUUGUGCUAUUGGAAUGGCCGAUAUCUGAUUAGCUAGUUGGUAGGGUAAAAGCCUACCAAGGCGACGAUCAGUAGCUGGUCUGAGAGGACGACCAGCCACACUGGAACUGAGACACGGUCCAGACUCCUACGGGAGGCAGCAGUGGGGAAUUUUGGACAAUGGGGGCAACCCUGAUCCAGCAAUGCCGCGUGAGUGAAGAAGGCCCUCGGGUUGUAAAGCUCUUUUGUCAGGGAAGAAACGGAGUUCUCUAAUAUAGGAUUCUAAUGACGGUACCUGAAGAAUAAGCACCGGCUAACUACGUGCCAGCAGCCGCGGUAAUACGUAGGGUGCAAGCGUUAAUCGGAAUUACUGGGCGUAAAGCGUGCGCAGGCGGUUUUGUAAGUCUGAUGUGAAAUCCCCGGGCUCAACCUGGGAACUGCAUUGGAGACUGCAAGGCUAGAGUGUGUCAGAGGGGGGUAGAAUUCCACGUGUAGCAGUGAAAUGCGUAGAGAUGUGGAGGAAUACCGAUGGCGAAGGCAGCCCCCUGGGAUAACACUGACGCUCAUGCACGAAAGCGUGGGGAGCAAACAGG
rnacentral:rRNA from 1 species